rnacentral:rRNA from 1 species
UACAGAGGUGGCGAGCGUUGUUCGGAUUUACUGGGCGUAAAGGGUGCGUAGGCGGCGACGUGUGCCGGACGUGAAAUCCCGGGGCUCACCCCCUGCGCGUGCGUACGGGACUGCGUCGCUAGGGUUCGGGAGAGGAGAUCGGAACGCAGGGUGUAGCGGUGAAAUGCGUUAAUAUCCUGCGGAACACCGGAGGCGAAGGCGGAUCUCUUGCACGACACCGACGCUGAGGCACGAAAGCGUGGGGAGCAAA